UAGUCUGGGAUACCACUUGGAAACAGGUGCUAAUACCGGAUAAGAAAGCGGAUCGCAUGAUCAGCUUUUAAAAGGCGGCGUAAGCUGUCGCUAUGGGAUGGCCCCGCGGUGCAUUAGCUAGUUGGUAAGGUAAAGGCUUACCAAGGCGAUGAUGCAUAGCCGAGUUGAGAGACUGAUCGGCCACAUUGGGACUGAGACACGGCCCAAACUCCUACGGGAGGCAGCAGCC
rnacentral:rRNA from 1 species